AUUUUUCCUCCAAACUAUUCUUGUUUUGUUUGUUUGUUUGUUAAUUGCAUACUCGUUUUAAACUCUUUAAAAUCCCUCUCCUCACAGUUUCUCAGUAUUUGCAGGUUUUUGUCUCAGUCUUUGCAAUAUAUAAGAGAGAACCAACUGUGUUUUCUUCUAAAAGAAACUGAGACAAGUCCGCUGUAAGGACCUCACAGCACAGCGGUGGUUACGUUUCUUUUGAAUGUGGCUUGAGGUUGAUCUGCAGGCAGCCUUUCUUCUUCCUCUGCACUCAAUCGCUAGUCAUUCUCAGCCGGCAUGAUGGAAAUACAGCUCUGGAAAAAAAUGCGACCACUUAAAAAUAAGGAAUUCCUUUAAUUUUACCAAAUUGAAAACCUCUGGACUAUAAUCAAAAGGAAGAUGGAUGAUCACAAGCCAUCAAAUCAAGCUGAGCUGCUUGAAUUUUUGCGCCAGGAGUAUAAAGCAUAAAGUUAUCCAAAAGCAGUGUGUAAGACUGGUGGAGGAGAACAUGAUGCCAAGAUGCAUGAAAACCGUGAUUAAAAACCAGGGUUAUUCCACCAAAUAUUGCUUUAUGAAUUCUUAAACAUUAUGAAUAUGAACUUGUUUUUUUUUUUUGUUUUUUUUUUGGCAUUAUUUGAGGUCUGAAAGCUUUGCAUCGUUUUUGUAAUUUCAGCUAUUUCUCAUUUUCUGCAAAUAAAUGCUCUGAAUGACAAUAAUUUUAUUUGAAAUUUGAGAGAAAUGUUGUCCGUAGUUUAUAGAAUAAAACAGCAAUCUUAAUUUUACUCAAACAUAAACCUAUAAAUAGCAAAAUCAGAGAAACUGAUUCAGAAACUGAAGUGGUCUCUUAAUUUUUUUUUACAGAGCUGUAGUUUGUAAUUUGUAUGAUCAUAAGAUGGUGUCAAAAACAUAUAAGCAGUAAGUGGGUGUGGCUUAAGCUAUACAGUUUGCAUAAUGCUAAUUUAAGUUCUUGUGGCUUUAAACACCAUGGCUGAUCAGCUCCAUUUGCAUUCAGCUCCGACUACAUUAAAUGUACUCGCGUAUUGGAACACCUGCUCAUGCAUUGUUCCCCAAAAUUAACUGUAUUAACAAAACAAAGAGUGUGUUAUGCUAUUGUGGAAGUUUCUUCUCUCCAGGAAAGGUUUUCUACAAUAUUUUUUUUUAAUUGCUGUGAGGAUUUGUUUGCUUUCAGUGGCAAGAGCAUGAAUGAGGUUAGUCAGAAUGUUGCGUGAUCAGCUCACCUCGUCCCCAACAACCAACUUAAUCCUGUUCUAGGAAAUAGACGCAUGGUGUAUCUACAUUUAGUAGUACCACACUAUUCCUGUACACUUACAUUUAAUGCAGUUCACAACAAGGCAUCUCUGAAUACAGUAUCAUAUACCGUAUUUUUCGCACAAUAAGGCACACUGGAUUAUAAGGUGCAUUAUGCAACACUAGUAAGAAACAGGGGUGUCGUCAUGUUUUCCUUCUAUUUCAGCAGGUCUUGCCGCUGGUUGGUGGUGGGGGUAACUGAGUUAAGUAAAGCUAAGCUAAGUAAACAAAACUGUACUUCUUAAAAAAGAACAUUUUAAAGUCAAACGAGCGCUGGAUUUCUCUCCUGGGUGAGUAAAGCGCUUCUGUUUAUUUACAGUAAGCUUAGAUUUCCAGAUUUUCACUAAGGCUGGGUGCAGCAGCAUUAGCAUUAGCGGCUAACCGCUAGCCACGGUUAUGGUUGGGAAACUCGGCUUCAUGGCUCCUUACAACAUGACUGGUAAAAUUCAUACAUAAGGCGCACUGGAUUAUAAGGCAUGCUAACGAAUUUAAGUGUGCAAAAAAUACGGUAGAAACUUAAGUAAGUCAAAUUUUGAGGCCGGUUAAGGAAUUUGUUACAUUUCAAUAAAGAUUUUGAUAUUUUACACCAUAAUCGAAAUUAUAGAUAUAUCCUAUUUCAGUAGGAAAAAUGUUGCCCCACCACUACAGAUGUUCUCACUUAACCAAGACGUGUUUGAUGCUUCACUUCUAACAAACAUUGAAAGUCAGUGGUCACUUAAAUAUUUUCCAUAUAUUUAAGAAUAUGCCCAUCCCUGUGCCUAUACACAACCACAGUGUCUCUUGAGGGUUUGCAGUUUGUUGUUUCUUUUUAUAAACACAACAUAACAAUAUUUUCAGCUAGAAAAUGUAAAAUUCUCAGUUAUUUCUGAACAUAAAUAGAAGUGACAAAUUUAAAACAUGAGUUGAGACUAGAAUUUAGACCAAACAUAUCGUGUUCAAGCAUCUCUAUCUGGAGUAAGUGUAAAAUCAGGCAAACUAGAUUUGAUACCAAACUAUUCCUUCAAUUCAACAGAGACUUUUGACCUUGUGAGACCCUGUUUGAUAACAUGUGACCUGCAAAAGGUCAUUGUGUCAUCUGUGGCCAAAUAAUAAAACCCAAGUUGUAAAGAAGUGCCAUGUGACCUCUUAAUGAGGUAAGAAGGAACUAUUUUCGGUUCCUUUAAUUUAAGAGCAGCAAGUGAUCUAGUCCCAUCACAGGUUUUAUAAGCAUCCCCCAUAACUUCCUGUGUGCUAUGUUCUGAUGAUUUGGGAGAUAUGAUGAGUGUUGUGCUGCAGAUCAUGUGUUCAUCUGUCUACAUGUGCAGCAGAUCUGCUCUCAAGUCUACCUCUGUUUUUCUUAUAAUUGUGUUUAGUGGAUUUUAAGUUAAGUAUACUGUCUCUAACUCAAAGGAAGUUCUCAAUUUAAGCAUCUUGUGCUUCCAAUUCUUAUCAGACACUGGAGAAACCGUGCGGUGUUGGUGGUAUUGCCUGCUGAUGAUUGAAGAAGUUAUAGUGUGCUUUUUGUUUGCUGUUUCGAAGCAGAAAAUCUGUUCUUUUGGGUUCUGAAUGUAGAGUGAAAAUGCUUCAAAGAUUCCUCACAGAAGCGUCGCUGCAUCUUGAGUUCCAAUGUCAAGCCUGUUUUUCUGCAUUCAGCAGUAUGCAGUGAAGUUUAGCAUGAAAAUGAAAACAACAGAAAACAACAUUUUCACAGUCAGUAUAUUUCUGCACUUGUUAUGCACAGUAUAGCAGAUGUAUUCUCUUGGUAUAAACUGUAAACAUAAGGUCGAAACAUAAAGUCGUAACCUUGUGAUCAAUUCAGGGGGUUAGAGCCCAGGAUUGUUCAUGCUAUGGUGCUCUUGGACCAGGUAAAGUAUUUUGCUCAGGGGUCCAACAGUGGCUGCUUAAUGAAUAUGGGUAUUAAAUCCACAACCCUGUGGUCAAUUGAAGUGUCAAAACACAGGGUAAUUCGUGAUACAGUGCAACUGGAGCAGAGCAGGUUAAAUAUCUUGCUUAAGGGUCGAAGAGUGGCUGCUUAAUGAGUAUGGGUAUUGAACCUACAACCCUGUUACAAUUCAGGCAUCAGAGCAAAAAAAAAAUCAUCCAAGCUACACUGCCCCUGGAGCAGAGAUGGUUAAGUAUCUUGCUCAAGACUCAACAAUGGCUGCUUUAAUUAAUGUGGGUAUUGAACCUACAACCCUGUGGUCAAUUGAAGGGUCAAAGCACAGGGUAAUUCGUGAUACAGUGCCCCUGGAGCAGAGAUGGUUAAGUGUCUUGCUCAAGACUCAACAAUGGUUGCUUUAAUUAAUGUGGGUAUUGAACCCACAACCCUGUGGUCAACUGAAGGGUCAAAGCACAGGGUCAUUUGUGUUACAGUGCCCCUGAAGCAGAGCAGGUUAAAUAUCUUGCUUAAGGGUCAAAGAGUGGCUGCUUAAUGAGUAUGGGUAUUGAACCCACAACCCUGUUACAAUUCAGGCAUCAGAGCAAAAAAAAAAUCAUCCAAGCUACACUGCCCCUGGAGCAGAGAUGGUUAGGUGUCUUGCUCAAGACUCAACAAUGGCUGCUUUAAUUAAUGUCGGUAUUGAACCCACAACCAUGUGAUCAAUCAAUUUAGGGGUCAAAGCAGAUAGAAUAUCCCUGGUUUUUAAUCACAGUUUUCAUGCAUCUUGGUAUCAUGUUCUCCUCCACCAGUCUUACACACUGCUUUUGGAUAACUUUAUGCUGCUUUACUCCUGGUGCAAAGAUUCUGCAAGCAGUUCAGUUUGGUUUGAUGGCUUGUGAUCAUCCAUCUUCCUCUUGAUUAUAUUCCAGAGGUUUUUAAUUUGGUAAAAUCAAAGUUCAGUCUGAAUAUUCUGCUAUCCCACGACUUUCGGCGUGUCUGUGCAUGGAUUAAAAUAAAAUAAUUCUUAUUUAUCCCUCAAAGAACCUCUUUUAGCGCUGUAUGAAGCUUACAGCAUAACCACCAUGGCUGAACUUUAACCUGCAGUGGAUGAAUUCAGUGCUCUGUGGAAGCCACUAUUAGAUGAUCUGACCAAAUCGAAUGAAUUCAAAUUCAUUUUCAUUUUCUUGCCGUGUUGAUACUACUUUUUUUUAUGUUGCUGUUUGUUGCAGCAGCUAAACUAAAUGCUUUAAAAAAAAACUAAUACAAAGAGAUCAUUGUUGUUACACUGUCUGUUCCACAUUUCAAAUCAC